rnacentral:rRNA from 1 species
GUAGGGGGCAAGCGUUAUCCGGAUUUACUGGGCGUAAAGCGCGUGCAGGCGGCUUGGUAGGUUUGGACGUGAAAGCUCCCGGCUCAACUGGGAGAGGCCGUUCAAUACCGCUAGGCUUGAGGGCGGAAGAGGGGAGUGGAAUUCCCGGUGUAGUGGUGGAAUGCGUAGAGAUCGGGAGGAACACCAGUGGCGAAGGCGACUCCCUGGUCCGUACCUGACGCUAAGACGCGAAAGCGUGGGGAGCGAACGGGAUUAGAUACCCCGGUAGUCCACGCCGUAAACGAUGGAUGCUAGGUGUGGGUGGUAUUGACCCCCAUCCCGUGCCCGUAGCUAACGCGUUAAGCAUCCCGCCUGGGGACUACGGCCGCAAGGCUAA